UGACAACGCAGCUAAAGUUGCCUUCAGCAACCCUCAGCAGAAAAUGCAGCUUGAUACAACUGACUGGUGUUCGUGUAUUGAAGGUGAAGAUGUAGAAGGACUAUUUGCCCUGGUCUCCUGGGAAUAGAUAUUUAUGCAACCAGUCACAGAGGGCUGCAGCUGUUACCUCUGCUGUUUCUGCUGCUGUUGCUGCUGUCCCAGCAAAGGCCAUGCUCUUGGGGUCUGCAGAGUUCCAGACUGCCCAUGUAUGCCUGUGUGUACCUGAUGGCCAGGCCAACUGCUUAGCACUCAAGCUACCACUGUCUGCUGUACCUGCAGACCUGAGACCACAUGUUUACUAUCAUCUGGUUAUGUCCUCUGCUCAAUGCAUGCUCUAUUGCCCCAUUAAACUUUACUUAUAAGGCCUAGGUACAAAAUUAUAAAAUGAUUAAGGAUUUCAAGACAGCAUUGAAUUCCACAGAGCAUUGAACCAAGCCCGAGGCCCUUUCUGAGAGUGGGGUCCUGUGUUAUCGCACUGGAGUGCCCAUGAGCCUGGCCCUGUUGGCUGAACUUGAUGGAAGGGUGAGCAUCACUGGACAUUCCACAUGCUGCUGGCUGCCAUGAUGUGAUAGGAGCAAGUAGGGAAGAGCAUACCAGAACCAGGAAGAGAAGCCCUUAUCUUUCAGCAUCCCUCCAGUGUCCUUCUAGUACUCUCUACUGAAAAAGCUUAAUAUCAUGUCAGCUGAAAAAAAAAAAGGUAUAGGGUCCAACUCUACUAUCACAAACAGGAUAAAGAAGAAUGGAAUCUAAGUCACUUUGGAAAUGAGUGGUAUCUAUAAGACUAAAGGCAAAAUGUACUAUCCAUAGGAAUUUUACUGUAGUUGGUGGUAUAAUAAACUUUGGAUACUCAGAAAGGGGGAGGAUGGGAGCAAGCUAAGUGAUAAAAAAUUACAUAUUGGGCACAAUGUACAAUGUGCAUAUUCAUCUAUGUAACCAAAAUCCACUUG
rnacentral:lncRNA from 10 species